AAACUUUUGAAGGGUAAGGGUUUGUGAUGGGAAAUUUCUAAGGAAAAGUGAGAACACAAGUGGGAUGUUUGGGAAUUUUUGCAGAAGUUGUGGAAUUUGGAUUGACUUUAGGCUCUGAUAUAAAAAAUUGAUAUAGAACAAAUAAAGAAGAUUAAAGAACUUAGAGAAAUCAAGGACAAAUCAUUGAAGAGAGAACUAAUUCUCAAG
rnacentral:misc_RNA from 1 species